UACGAAGGGGGCUAGCGUUGCUCGGAAUCACUGGGCGUAAAGCGCACGUAGGCGGCUUUUUAAGUCAGGGGUGAAAUCCUGGAGCUCAACUCCAGAACUGCCUUUGAUACUGGGAAGCUUGAGUCCGGGAGAGGUGAGUGGAACUCCUAGUGUAGAGGUGGAAUUCGUAGAUAUUAGGAAGAACACCAGUGGCGAAGGCGGCUCACUGGUCCGGUACUGACGCUGAGGUGCGAAAGCGUGGGGAGCAAACAGG
rnacentral:rRNA from 1 species